GUGAGAAGAGGAUGACUUCAGAGGCACUGAAUCAAAUCCAUCAGAUGUCCUCUGGGAAAAAAAAAACUGAAGAUGAAAGAAAGGCACCACUCAACUCAAGCUGUGGUGAGCCUCUGCGUGCAGGGGGAUUUACCAACCUCGUGCGGCUGUCUGCGGUGGGCAGCUCGCAUUCUUUGCCGCCAGAGCUCAUCAUCAGCUUGGAGUACUUGUACUCCAAUCUGCAGGAGUGGACAUGCAUGUUGACUCUGCCAAAGGAAGUGGAAAGUGCAGCCAUCACAAGUCCCUUCGGAACAGUUACUGUGGAGGAGAUACCAUACCAAAGGUUGUCGAUUUAUGCAUGUGUACACCAAAGUUAUAGGUCUUGGUGAUAGAACCUUAAAAUAACAUUCUCCAUUUUUUUCCUGACUAAAACCUGAUUUCUCAUUUAAUCAUAAAUUCCACCUUUUUGUUCCGGUAAAGCAAAUGACAAAUAUUUGAAAAAGCUCUACUGUUUUCCUUUUGGGUUUUGCUUUAUUUCUCAACUAUAGUUGAUGAAAUGUUUAUACUGUAAAUAUACCACUAAAUAUGAUUCUGAAACGGUUAUAUAUUUUCAAAUUCAUCUUAGAACAUUACCCAUAACAAUAAACACAAAACAAUCAGUAUUAUAAAAUGCAAACAAAAAGAGAUAACCGCAGAGCAAAAAAAAAAAAUUGUAUUUCGCACAUCUCGUGAUCAACAAAAAAACCCAGGAUGCCAUUUUAUUAUUCUGGACCUAAACACUUAAAAAGACCUUCACAUCUGGUCAUUUUGACCUUCAUGGUUUGUUUCAAGCAUUUUCUUCAUCAUGUGACAUUUACUGUAAUUAUAUUGGUGUACAAGAAAAAUGCUUGCUGUCACAGUACAUUACUGACUUUGGGUCACGAAAAUGGGAAAUUGAGGUCAACAGUGUCAAUUGGCUAUAGUUUUUGAGCUACAGUAUCGGACCCAAAUGUUAAAAUCCAACCAAUUUAGGCGAAAAUGGGUAUUAAUUGAAAUGGAAAUGGUUAUUUCUGUGUAAACAUAUUUGCCUAUAAAAAUGUAUACCAUUUCAGAAUAUAAUUGUGUAGAUGCACGAGCUUUGACAUAAUAUGCUGUUUUCAAUGUUUAUGCAUCAAUCCUGGUGUUUUGGAAAUGGACAACAUUCAUUAAUGUGGACACAUUUCAUAAGCGGUGACAUAUGUAUACCCAUCUCAUGUCAAA